rnacentral:tRNA from 1 species
GGCCUAUUGGUCAAGGGGUUAAGACGCAGCCCUCUCAAGGCUGAAUCACGAGUUCAACUCUCGUAUAGGUCA